UUUUCCCUUAUAAGGACAUGGACCUGAUGGGGGAAGUGACUUCACAUAGGACAUAUUUGAGGGAGACACCUGCAACCAGACCCUCGGAGAGCAGUGAGCCUCACCAGGAAGCCAGGAGCCUUCACAGUGAGGUGUAGCAGACAUCGCCACCUGAGAUUUCACCAUUUACAGUUUCUGUCAGCCACAGACCACAGCCCUCAAACGUUAAAUGAAUCAGAACUGAGAAUCUCAGCUCCUGUUCUGAGUGCAGUUUCUCACCAAGGUCCAGACUGGACCUGGGAAGCCACCUGAUGAGGGGCCCUAGAGGGUCAGUGACUACUGGCAUCAUUCCAGCCCCAGAGCUAUGAGUGUCUGGCCAUUGUGUCAAACUUCAACCCAAUGCCACCUCCUCAAAGGAGCCCACCUGAAGCCCACAGCCUGAGUCAGCUCAUCAUGUGGUCAUUUAGACGGUGACUGUCAUCGAGCCUAUGUUUAGUGCCCCACUCUUGUUCUUCCUGCUACAUUUUCCAAUGUAGCCAGCGCAUCACAGGCUACGUGCCUGCUGACUGGACCAAGAACUCCAGGAGGCAGAGGCAGGUGGAUCUCCGUGAGUUAGAGGACAGCUGGUCUACAGAGUGAGUUCCAGGAAAGCCAGCGCUGUUGCACAACACAGAGAAACCCUGCCUCGAAAAACCAAAACAUAAAAAUAAAGCGUAAAAAUAAACUCCACGGCAUCCUGAGAGCUGAGGAAGUGUAAGUGUGCACAGGGGACAGCGCAGGAGGGGAAGUCGGAGGCCAGUUUUGCAGAAGUUCUAGACCAGCAAUCUGGGGUUUCAUUCUGAAAGGUCAAGAAUGAUCAUAUCCAGUAUUGACCAACAUUCUUUAUUUGAG
rnacentral:lncRNA from 1 species